rnacentral:rRNA from 1 species
GACGAACGCUGGCGGCGUGCUUAACACAUGCCAGUCGAACGGAAAGGCCCUGCUUUUGUGGGGUGCUCGAGGGGCGAACGGGUGAGUAACACGUGAGUAACCUGCCCUUGACUUUGGGAUAACUUCAGGAAACUGGGGCUAAUACCGGAUAGGAGCUCCUGCUGCAUGGUGGGGGUUGGAAAGUUUCGGCGGUUGGGGAUGGACUCGCGGCUUAUCAGCUUGUUGGUGGGGUAGUGGCUUACCAAGGCUUUGACGGGUAGCCGGCCUGAGAGGGUGACCGGCCACAUUGGGACUGAGAUACGGCCCAGACUCCUACGGGAGGCAGCAGUGGGGAAUAUUGCACAAUGGGCGGAAGCCUGAUGCAGCAACGCCGCGUGCGGGAUGACGGCCUUCGGGUUGUAAACCGCUUUCGCCUGUGACGAAGCGUGAGUGACGGUAAUGGGUAAAGAAGCACCGGCUAACUACGUG